UCCACCCCUGUCGAGGUGGAUCCAGUUGAGCUGGGAAUGGGCAUCAACAUGUAGCUAAUAUCACUCACUGGACCAGCCAUAGAACAUCAGCUGACAACAACUAUCUAUUUUUAUUUUUGUGUUGACAACAACUGCAAAGUUUAGUGUAUGUGCAACUACACGCAAGUACAGGCGUCUGGGGUAACGUUUCAUCAGUUACCUGCCGGAGAUAUUCCUCGGAGCCGACAGUGGCUGGCGGCAAUAAAGAACGCUGCUUAUAAUGUGAAUCCUUCCGUGGAGAAUUCUGUGUUUAAGGCACAUUCAGCCUGUGGAUUUCAAAAAUGACCAGAAAAAUAUGAUCUGAUGGGGUUGCCAGGUCAUAGAAAGUUGAAAAGUGAAGCUAUUCCAUUGUUUCCCCCAUCACUUCAAAGAGGAAGGCAUCCAAUCAGCCAACAUCAGCGCAGCAGAAAACAAGUCGAGCAGAGAGUCCGAUCCCAUCAACAUCUGCAGCUUCAUCAACAUCAAGCUCAGCACCAGGAACUAGUGAGACUUUCAGCACAAACAAAUAAUCUGCAAGAGGUCGAAGUAGCGGGUGAUGAAGAGUGUACGAGCCCAGUACUGACCACUUCAGGGAGAGGCUUGUCCACCUGGCUGCGGAGUGGAGAACGGACAAAACGGCGGUCUACAAGCAACCAGUCACAGCUUCCCAAACCCAACAACCCUGCCAACAGCGCCAACGCCUGCUAAACCAGCUGCCAAAAACAAGGUUCACCAGCUGAAGAACAUUCAGGACCCUGUCUGGAACAUUCAGCCUACACAACGUCCAUAUUCAUUUAGACUGAUGUUGUACUAUCAUAUAGAAUGCCUAGUAUGCUCACAACUGCAUUGUGGUAUAGAUAUUGCUAGCUCUUGUAUACAUGUACAUAGUGGAGUUUGAUCAAAUGUUUUAUAUAAUCUUUUUUACAAGGGUAUAGACAAGUGACUAAAGGAUUCCAGCAGCAUCAGAAAACAAAGUAUUGACUUCAACUUCUGGAUCAAUUCAUUGUGGUAUUCAUGUAAUCUAGCUACCAUCUUGAUGCUAAAACAAGUGAUGCAUGAACUUGGUGUAUCAUUUCAACUUUCCUUUGUUGGCAAGUAAACAUGUUUCAAUAAAACAGUAGAUUAGUCUGUCAAUAGUAAGUAGAUUGACAGUAGAUUAGUCUGUCAAUAGUAAAUAGAUUGACAGUAGAUUAGUCUGUCAAUAGUAAGUAGAUUGACAGUAGAUUAGUCUGUCAAUAGUAAGUAGAUUGACAGUAGAUUAGUCUGUCAAUAGUAAGUAGAUUGACAGUAGUUUUGUCUGUCAAUAGAAAGUAGAUUGACAGUAGAUUAGUCUGUCAAUAGAAAGUAGAUUGACAGUAGAUUAGUCUGUCAAUAGUAAGUAGAUUGACAGUAGAUUUGUCUGUCAAUAGAAAGUAGAUUGACAGUAGAUUAGUCUGUCAAUAGUAAGUAGAUUAACAGUAGAUUAGUCUGUCAAUAGAAAGUAGAUUGACAGUAGAUUAGUCUGUCAAUAUAGCAAACAAGUAGACAUGGCUUGUAUUCAAGAGAAAGUUUAAAUGCUCUGGAGACUGAGGUGAGUUUACACAGCAGUAUGCAGGAACAGUUAUGGCAAUGUAUGGCAUAUACACUGAGUGUACAAAACAUUAGGGACAGACUGACCAGGUGAAAGCUCUGAUUCCGUAUUGAUGUCACCAGUUAAAUCCACUUCAAUCAGUGUAGAUGAAGGGGAGGAGACAGCUUAAAGAAUCAUUUUUAAGCCUUAAGACAACUGAAACAUGGAUUGUGUAUGUGUGCCAUUCAGAGGGUGAAUGGGCAAGAGAAAAUAUUGAAGUGCCUUUGAACAGGGUAUGGUAGUAGGUGCCAGGCUCACCGGUUUCAGUGUGUCAAAGACUGCAACACUGCUGUUUUUUUUUAACGCUCAACAGUGUAUCAAGAAUGGUCCACCACACAAAGGACAUCCAGCCAAUUUGACACAGCUGUGGGAAGCAUUGGAGGCAAUAUGGGCCAGCAUCCAUGUGAAACCCUUUCGACAGAUGGUAGAGUCCAUGUCCAGACGAAUUGAGGCUGUUCUGACGUCAACGGGGGCACAUGCUCCUAAUGUUUCAUACCCUCAGUGUACACAGUAGAAGAAACAUAUACUACUAACGCCUAUAAUAAAUACUACAGUUA